ensembl:lncRNA
GGGGGGGAAUGGAGGAGAGGUCCGGGGGAAUGGAGGAGAGGUCCGGGGGAAUGGAGGAGAGGUCGUGGGGAAUGGUGGAGAGGUCCGGGGGAAUGGUGGAGAGGUCCGGGGCAGCUUCCGAGCCCGCAGGAAGACGUCCCGGGGGCAGGCUUUGCUGACUUCAGGCAAUGGGCAUGGCAGAACAGCCCAUAAUGGCAACAGCAGUCCGGUCUGUGAGGGUAUUGUGUCGCUGGAGCCAAGAGAAUCCAAAUACCACGGAAACCUGAGGAGACUUAAUUAGCAUGAAUUGGAUUUCCUCGCUGUGGUUCCCUGAUACUCGUAAGUUGAUGGGAGUGGAAUUUUGGUUGACCCGGUCUAUAGAGCACCCGUCCAGCAUUCUAACGUCCAUGGGAAUGGAGAGGGGCUGAAUGGAGAUGCCCAGCUCGGAUGCCAGGGAGGUGUCCAUAAAACUCUCAUCAGCCCCAGAGUCAAUGAGUACCCGGAGAGAUUUCGACUGGUCUCCCAACAGCAGGAUGGAGUGGAGAGGGGUGCGAGUAAGGGGAGA